GACUUGACAUCUCCUGAAUACCGUAACUGGGAAGCUCUCGAGCAGGAAGACAGGUGGUGCAUGGUUGUCGUCAGCUCGUGUCGUGAGAUGUUGGGUUAAGUCCCGCAACGAGCGCAACCCUUAUCGUUAGUUGCUACCAUUAAGUUGAGCACUCUAGCGAGACUGCCCGGGUUAACCGGGAGGAAGGUGGGGAUGACGUCAAAUCAUCAUGCCCCUUAUGUCUAGGGCUACACACGUGCUACAAUGGUGAGGACAAAGAGACGCAAGACCGCGAGGUGGAGCAAAUCUCACAAACCUCAUCCCAGUUCGGAUUGCAGGCUGAAACUCGCCUGCAUGAAGCCGGAGUUGCUAGUAAUCGCGAAUCAGCAUGUCGCGGUGAAUACGUUCCCGGGCCUU
rnacentral:rRNA from 1 species